CAGUUAGCGGCGAGUGAAGCGGCAGAGCUCAGAUUUGAAAUCGUGCUUUGCGGCACGAGCUCUGUAGAUUGCAGGUUGGAGUCUGUGUGGAAGGCGGUGUCCAAGUCCCUUGGAACAGGGCGCCCAGGAGGGUGAGAGCCCCGUGGGAUGCCGGCGGAAGCAGUGAGGCCCUUCUGACGAGUCGAGUUGUUUGGGAAUGCAGCUCCAAGCGGGUGGUAAAUUCCAUCUAAGGCUAAAUACUGGCGAGAGACCGAUAGCGAACAAGUACUGUGAAGGAAAGAUGAAAAGCACUUUGAAAAGAGAGUGAAACAGCACGUGAAAUUGUUGAAAGGGAAGGGUAUUG
rnacentral:rRNA from 1 species